AAAGCUGAACAUAUUCCGAUAGUUGCACCAGUCCCUCCUUGUUCCCCUGCGUGCAGACAGCACGCUGUGCGUUCUUACUGGGACUGCACUUGCAAUGCCAUCACUCAGCCUCUCCUUCAGAGACCAGCUGGUGAAAAACAAAAUCGGCAAAACAUUGUAUCAAGCCCAAUACUACAGCAUAUAAAUCGCCUCUGUGCACUGCAUUUGAACAACAUGAAGUGCUUACAACUGUUGCUGUUUGAUAUUUUCUGCCAGUAAAAUGUUUAUCUGCACCUUGACCAAAAUAGCAUGAAGAAUGAGAAAGCUCUUCCUCUAAAGUUUGUAAUGCAUUUAAAUGUCUCUGCCUUUGCUGAGAUCAAGCAGACAUUCUAAACUGGGUAAACAAGAAAAAUAUGAAUUGUCAAUGAAUCAAGUUGGAGACAUUUCAAGCAAAUCUCUGAGAGAAUCAAUAUUAUGUCAAGGUUUAUUCCAUAUCUUCAUUAAUGAUCCAGAAAUACAGCGAGCAUCAGAGAAGACUGACAUAUAAAACAAAGGCAUUGAGAAGGUGUGAUUAACAUUUAAACACAAUAGUUGUUGCCAUAAGAAWUAUGUCAAGUUGCUGGAUGAUCCUCACCAGUUUUUCUGAUAGAGCUCUUCCUUAUGGAGCAAAAGAUGCUGGAGCACUUCAUUUCCUUGAGAAGAACUGCUGUGCCCGGAAACCCAAACAACGAGGCUGCGCCACAGAAACUGUCUCAUG
rnacentral:lncRNA from 1 species